CACGCAGGCGGAUUGAUAAGUCAGGGGUGAAAUCCCGGGGCUCAACCUCGGAAUUGCCUUUGAUACUGUCUAUCUUCGAGUUCGGGAGAGGUUGGCGGAAUUCCUAGUGUAGAGGUGAAAUUCGUGGAUAUUAGGAAGAACACCAGUGGCGAAGGCGGCCAACUGGCCCGAUACUGACGCUCAUGUGCGAAAGCGUGGGGAGCAAACAGGAUUAGAUACCCUGGUAGUCCACGCCGUAAACUAUGGAUGCUAGCCGUUGGAGAGCUUGCUCUUCAGUGGCGCAGCUAACGUCUUAAGCAUCCCGCCUGGGGAGUACGGUCGCAAGAUUAAA
rnacentral:rRNA from 1 species